GAUGAACGCUAGCGAUAGGCCUAACACAUGCAAGUCGAGGGGCAUCACAUGAAGUAGCAAUACGGAUGGUGGCGACCGGCGCACGGGUGAGUAACACGUAUGCAACCUGCCUUCAACAAGGGGAUAACCCGUUGAAAGACGGACUAAUACCCUAUAACACAGGGGUCCCGCAUGGGAAUAUUUGUUAAAGGACAACCGGUUGAAGAUGGGCAUGCGUUCCAUUAGCUAGUUGGCGGGGUAACGGCCCACCAAGGCAACGAUGGAUAGGGGAACUGAGAGGUUUAUCCCCCACACUGGUACUGAGACACGGACCAGACUCCUACGGGAGGCAGCAGUGAGGAAUAUUGGUCAAUGGACGCAAGUCUGAACCAGCCACGUCGCGUGAAGGAAGACGGCCCUACGGGUUGUAAACUUCUUUUAUACGGGAAUAAAGUGCCCCACGCGUGGGGUUUUGCAUGUACCGUAUGAAUAAGGAUCGGCUAACUCCGUGCCAGCAGCCGCGGUAAAUCACUUAUCGA
rnacentral:rRNA from 1 species